UAUGGCUACCUGCUCCCGAGAACAUGUCUAGAAAAAUAUUUCAACUUAUUGCAUGGGCAUUUUGGAACCAUGGGGUUCCAGACAGCAGCUGAGGUCAUUUCCAUUUCUUGGUUUUCUUGAUUUGCAUUUCAUGUUUUGACCGGAUUAUGUUUGAUGCAGGAUCGAAGGAUCAGGCAUGGAUAUCUGCAACAAGGGCAAAGUACAUUACUGAUCAGGCAAAAGUUGGGUUUAGCUUCGUAAAUAAAAUUUUCCAUCAUGAAAUGAAAGUUGCUUGCUCCCACCCGGAAGCUACCAUGAAGGAUAUGCAUAAUCAAUUCUUUUAUUCACAUUUAGUCAGCAGUCGAAGUUAUAGCCCAUGUUUUCUAACUUUUGCCUAUCGACUUCCUGUUGCACGCACAUAACGUGCAACUGCUAGUUAUCAAAGGUUUACGGUUGCAGGAUGGCAGAGGAGGGUUGCAGGAUGUCAAGUAAGAGUUGUUGGCCUCUAAUUGCCAUUACAGAUUAGUUGCAGACGCAUUCUACAAUUUCAAUGUGAGAGAACGCACAAAAACAUAUAUUUUUGUCAAGGCAUUGCAGGGUUAUGGGGGAUUCGAGGACCAGAUGGCAUUAUUUCAUAAUCCACAUGCCUUGUCUCUGCUUCGACAUCUUGCAUACUGAUUUAAUUUGUGCCUUUUCAGAUUUUUUAUGCUCUGUGUGCCUAUACCUGUAUCUAUUUCAUCAUACGCAAUAUGGGAGUAGCUGCGGCGAGAGGCAGAGGUAGAGAUGAUCCCACAGGGUGAAUCAAUUCUCGUCUAAAGGUUUCCGAAGCGUUUGCCAUAGAUAUAUAUCCUUCAACUCAGAUCAGUGAGGGCGUAUUCUUCAACCAUGCUCCAUAAAUAAAUAGUUCUUUUUCAUUUCUCUCACAAUCCCAAUGGUGGGUGAUGAGUUAAUUAGGAGUAUAAUUAAUAUUGAUGAAAAAUGUGAUAUCUAUUCCAUGCAGGUUUAA